rnacentral:tRNA from 1 species
AAGAAUUUAGUUAAAUUAUAAUAUUAACUUGUCAUGUUAAAGUUAUCUUACUAAGAUACUUCUUA